GUAGGGUCCGAGCGUUGUCCGGAAUUAUUGGGCGUAAAGGGCUCGUAGGCGGUCCGUCACGUCGGGAGUGAAAACUCAAGGCUCAACCUUGAGCGUGCUUCCGAUACGGGCGGACUAGAGGUAUGCAGGGGAGAACGGAAUUCCUGGUGUAGCGGUGGAAUGCGCAGAUAUCAGGAGGAACACCGGUGGCGAAGGCGGUUCUCUGGGCAUUACCUGACGCUGAGGAGCGAAAGCAUGGGGAGCGAACAGGAUUAGAUACCCUGGUAGUCCAUGCCGUAAACGUUGGGCACUAGGUGUGGGGACCUUCCACGGUUUCCGUGCCGCAGCUAACGCAUUAAGUGCCCCGCCUGGGGAGUACGGCCGCAAGGCUA
rnacentral:rRNA from 1 species